GACGAACGCUGGCGGCGUGCCUUACGCAUGUAAGUCGGACGGCCCGAAAGGGCAGUGGCGAACGGCUGAGUAACACGUGAGUGACCUGUCCUGGUGAGGGGGAUAGCCGCUCGAAAGAGUGGGUAAUACCGCGUACGGUUGCCCAGGUAGAGUGGAGUCACGAAAGCAGGGGUGCGCACUGGGAGGGGCUCGCGGCCCAUCAGGUAGUUGGUGAGGUAAAGGCUUACCAAGCCGAUGACGGGUAGCUGGUCUGAGAGGAUGAUCAGCCAGACUGGGACUGAGAAACGGCCCAGACUCCUACGGGGGGCAGCAGCGGGGAAUAUUGCACAAUGGGCGCAAGCCUGAUGCGGCGACGCCGCGUGAGGGAAGAAGGUCUUCGGAUUGUAAACCUCUUUUGUCGGGGAAGAUGAUGACGGUACCCGGCGAAUAAGCCCCGGCUAACUACGUGCCAGCAGCCGCAGUAAUAC
rnacentral:rRNA from 1 species